GAUGAACGCUGGCGGCGUGCUUAACACAUGCAAGUCGAACGAAGCACUUUACUUGAUCUUUUCGGAGUGAUUGUUUUGUGACUGAGUGGCGGACGGGUGAGUAACGCGUGGGUAACCUGCCUCACACAGGGGGAUAACAGUUGGAAACGGCUGCUAAUACCGCAUAAGCGCACAGUACCGCAUGGUACGGUGUGAAAAACUCCGGUGGUGUGAGAUGGACCCGCGUCUGAUUAGCUAGUUGGCAGGGCAACGGCCUACCAAGGCGACGAUCAGUAGCCGACCUGAGAGGGUGACCGGCCACAUUGGGACUGAGACACGGCCCAAACUGCUACGGGAGGCAGCAGUGGGGAAUAUUGCACAAUGGGGGAAACCCUGAUGCAGCGACGCCGCGUGAGCGAAGAAGUAUUUCGGUAUGUAAAGCUCUAUCAGCAGGGAAGAAGAAGUGACGGUACCUGACUAAGAAGCACCGGCUAAAUACGUGCCAGCAGCCGCGGUAA
rnacentral:rRNA from 1 species